GCGGGUGUAGCUUAAUGGUAAAGCAGCGGCUUCCCAAGCCGCCGACGUGGGUUCGAUUCCCAUCACCCGCUCCA
rnacentral:tRNA from 2 species